rnacentral:rRNA from 1 species
GAUGAACGCUAGCGGGAGGCUUAAUACAUGCAAGUCGAGGGGUAACAGGGGCUUCGGCCCGCUGACGACCGGCGCACGGGUGAGUAACGCGUACGCAACUUACCUCCAAGCGAGGGAUAGCUCUGGGAAACUGGGAUUAAUACCUCAUGUGAUUAUGAUGCCGCAUGGUGUUAUAAUUAAAGUUCAGGCGCUUGGAGAUGGGCGUGCGUCCUAUUAGCUAGUUGGUGAGGUAACGGCUCACCAAGGCGACGAUAGGUAGGGGGCGUGAGAGUGUGGCCCCCCACACGGGUACUGAGACACGGACCCGACUCCUACGGGAGGCAGCAGUAAGGAAUAUUGGACAAUGGGCGCAAGCCUGAUCCAGCCAUCCCGCGUGCAGGAUGACAGCCCUACGGGUUGUAAACUGCUUUUGUUAGGGAAGAAACCCCUCGAUUUAUCGGGGGCUGACGGUACCUUUCGAAUAAGCACCGGCUAACUCCGUG